UAUGAGUAGAGAAACACGGAAGACAAAACGAUUCACGGCGCGCCGACCAACCUGAGGUCAAAAGUCUGGAAAUACUUUGGAUUUCUGGAAAACGAUAAAGGUACCCUGGAUAGAUCAGCUGCGGUCUGCAAAAUAUGCAAAGCUAGCAUAAAGUACACUGGAAGUACGACAAACCUCGCUCUUCAUUCACGAAGACGGCAUGGAAUCGAAACAGAGUCGGAAGGGAAAAGCGUCGAAUCUGUGAAUAUCUUUCUAACUUUACCGAACUCAGGGCGAGCAGCUUCUUCCAGAGUGUGCUAGCUGACAACUCCAGCCGCUCAAAAGCAAUAACCGAAGCUCUAGGCAAUUUCAUCUGCAAAGAUAUGCGUCCGUAUAGCGUCGUUGAUCAUGUUGGGUUCAGACAAAUGAUACGGAUUUUAGAACCGAAGUUCAAACCUCCAACUCGGCAGCAUUUCAGUGAAAAAUGCAUUCCUGAGCUCUAUGAGAAGACGAAGAGUGAUGUGACAGAAUCUGUGCACACAGCUGAACAGACACGUUGACCUCGCGUGCAACUCAUUCCUGUUACAAUAACCGUGCAUUAUAUUUCUCCGGAGUGGUCAAUGAAAAAUUACGUCCUGCAAACGCACACUGGAAAAAAUAUUGGCGACCUUCUGAUAAAUGCCUGCAAGGAAUGGAAGAUUGAAAACAAAAAUCCAGCACUUGUGACAGACAAAGCCUGAAACAUGAUAACAGCAGCUCAAGCGGCUGAGAUGACCCCUCAUGUUACACCAUUAACCUGGCUUCACAGAAAGCUUUUCAAAUGAAAGAUGCUGCCAGAGUUCUGAGCCGAGUGCGGAGAAUCGUAACUUUUUUUCAUCACAGCCCCAAAGCCACUGACAUCCUGCACCAGAACCAGCUGCUGCUUGGUUUGCCAUCACACAAGCUCAUUCAGGAUGUAUGUACUCGCUGGAAUAGUUCCUAUGACAUGUUGGAUCGUUUUUUGGAACAACAGCCUGCAGUUUUUGCAAGUUUGAUGUCAAGAGAGGUGAGGAGGGGCGAGGAUGUCAAUACUUUGACAGAAGAAGAUCUUGCUGCAGUUGAGGCAAUAAUAAAACUUAUGGAACCAGUCAAAGGGGCAACAGCGCUCCUGUGUGAGGAAGACAACCCCAGCCUCUCCAUGGUCGCUCCUGUUCAGGCACAACUGAGAGAGCACUUUAAACCACUCAGCGAUGAGCUGCACAUCAUCACAGAAAUGAAGGUUCCUGGAAGACUUUAAUAAAAGGUACCAAGGACUUCAGGACACACUGCAUGUGGCCAGUGCGUUAGACCCACGCUUCAAAAUGUUGUCCUUCACCAAUGAUGACAAAACCAGAGACCAGACUUACCUCAGCACUUUAAGUGAGGCACUAACCCUACAUGAGAAAACAACUGAGGGCAGACAAAAGGAAUCUGAGAAAGGUCCCACACAAAGAAACCCAUCUCCAGGUGAAGACCGUCCUCACAACAAGAACGAGAAUCCUGCAGAUGAUGCCUGCCCCCCCCCAAAAAAAAAGAUGAAGGCUUUGGAUCAGAUGUUCAGUGACGUUGUAGAAACAAGUGCACCCCUGAGGUCCUACAGGGAGCUUGCAAAAGAUGAAGUCUGGAAAUCCAGAAACCGUGAUGCUUCGCCAUUGGAUGGAGAUGUCUUCCACUGGUGGAGAGACCAGCUGGAUCUGCCAAUCCUGUCUUCACUGGCUAAGAUUCAUUUGUGCAUACCUGCCACCAGCGGGCCAUCAGAAAGAGUUCUCAGUACUUCUUGGUACCCAGAGGCUUCUGCAGCUUCUACACCUGUUUUGUUUACUAAAAAGUUUAAUUUCAUCUUAUAAUUGUCAUGAGUAUUUUCUUUCACCAAAGGUAACAUACCAAGCUUCCCCUUCUCCCUUCCCACACAUUUAGCCCUGCAAACGGAGAGUUAUGGAAAGUGUCUUUAAAUUCAAACAUUACUUCCACUCAAUGACGUCACCAAUAGUAACAGUCAGCUACGUUAGCACGCAGCUGCUAGCGCUCAGAAAUACACAACAUCAGUUUGAUAACUUUACAAAGGUCAUGCUAAAGCAUGAAGCAUUCCUUACAUUGAAAUGAAAGCCUCUGCUUCAGAGCGCACCCAAGUGAAGGAAAGUGCUAAUCGUGUUUGUAUCUUUACUUUUGCGUGGAUUUCAGGCUGGCUUGUUUGCAAACGUCGCUACGGGGUCGUUGUGUUUUUGCCUGUGAUGGUUGCUCCACACGACAUACACAAUGUCUUGUUGAGGGCUGCGUCAUAACAUUUGACCGUAUAUUUACUCUUCUUUUUCUACCUGGAGUAGACAUUUUUCACCUGAAUCACAGAAAUGCAAUCCAUUAAAUUAGCGUCGUCCCGGGCGGGCUGCAGGUAUUCUGAUUCUGAUUCCACCAGCAGUCGUUCUGAUUGGAUGUCAUCUUCGAAGAGCAUUUUCCUUUUGUUUUUAUUUGUUGAUAAAAUAUUAAUCACUUUUGUUCGUUUUCUUGUCUGAGCAAGACUUCAGUUAUAUAUUUAGUUAACUUAUCGUUUCAUUUUCGUUGGGUGAAAAAGGUCGUUGACGAUGACGAAAAUGUUUUGUGAACGAUAUUGACACUGAUGGGGAUAUUGCUAUAUGUGGGCAAAUAUUACAUUUUGAUAUUUUAGUCAGAUUUAGUUAUUAUUUACUUAACUUUUUUUCAGAAAAUGACUAAACUUUGAACUUUACACAUAUCUGUCUACCUGCUUUUCUUUUAAAUACUAGCUGCAUUUCCUUGAAUUUAUUCUUUACUUUGAAUACAGUCUACUGAUUUUAAAAUGCUUGGCUAACAUCCAUGUGUUCAGUAUUAUAGACAUUGAGGAACUCCAUUUCUGCGAAUGGAGGGGAAUCGUAAUCAUUGAAAUGUGAUGAUCUUAGUCCAGGGUUCUCAAAGUUUUUAAGCGGACGGCCAAAUGCAGAACUCCAUAUUAGACUGGAGGCCAAUUUUGAUGAAAAAAAUGGAUAAGAAGAAAAUUACUGUUUUUAAAAACUUUAAUAACCAAGUGUCAUUUGAAUCGUUCAUUUAAUUCAAUUCCAUUUUAUUUAUAUAUCCCAAUAUCUCAAACGAAAUUUGUCUCACUGGGCUUCAACAUAACAUGAGAACAAACAAGCAAGAUUUGAAACAUUGUUUUAGCUGAGAUGUAUGAUUGAUUAUGAGACCUGUGAUGCCUAUUUGAGACUAUAUUGUAAGCAAAACCUAUUUAUAAAAAAUCGUCUGCCCCAGCUGGUGUUGGAAGUUGCUGCCCAGAUUUUCUACUUGUCUACUAAGCCUAAUAAUGUUAUUUGAUAGUUAUUUCAUUAAACCUUUUCUGUCAGCUACUUUCAGCAUAAAUUAUUUUACUAACUCCUUUCCAAAGCCACAGCUGUAGCUAGCUUCCGUCACAGCCUCACUGGAUUUAGCCAUUUUUGUAAACAUCAUCUGCAGUGCUGUGUAUCCUCGUUGUAGUUCUUGGAGUUUAUUGCUGCACUCCUCAACAGUAAAUUGAGCAUUGCAUUGACCUGCUGGCAUAUCAGGCACAUGACUUUAUCCAGCUUAUGAGGUACAACAAAGUCAGCAUUUUCUUCUCGUCAACAAGUUUUUCCCCAAAUGACCCUGCUGUGACUCUCUCUCUGAACCCCGUUCAUCCUCCCGCUGUGACUCCAUUUCUACUGCCGUUGUCACAGUACUUCCUUUCUCUGCAGAGGCAGUGACAUAGAACUAUUGAAUCUCAAUGUAUAGAACAUGUUAUCUGCCCCUAGUGGUUAAAUUAAUAUAUUGUACAACUGACAUCUUGGUAUUAUUACCUUUUAUUCCUGCAGAUGUCGCCAGAAACCACAAAACAUAUCAAAGCAAUGUACAACUGGUUAUGAUUUAUUGAAGCCCACAAAAGCUCUUCCUGCAGGCCAAUGGCGGCCCAGGGGCCACACUUUGAGAACCCCUGAUCUAAGUGGUAUUAAGGCAGUAUGUGCCAUGCAAGUUUGGAAUUUUAACUUUGAAUGUGAUUUUAGUGUCAAUAUGAUGUCAAAUAAAGUCAUAUCACUCCAA